GAUCAUAUAAAAUCAUAUGCUAAAGCAAAGAUAACCAAGCAUACCUAGAGCCAUGGUGGUUAGAAAAAGUGUCAGAUCUGCUGUUUCUUGGUAGCUAUCAUUGGUGUCUAUGAAACAUAUUCAGAAGUGGUUUCCUAAGUGUUUAAAAAGCUUGUCACUCACAUUGGGAGAUAGCAGCUUCGAUGAAAGACACUCAGGACAUCUCUCAUAUUUCUAAGCAUUUAGCAUCAAUCUCAUUGGUGGAGAUGAAAAUAACGUGGCAGAUUGGGCAGCCGGAAUGGCUAGAAUUGGUGCCCUUCCCCCAAUCUUAGACAAUCUAAUGAUAAUGCUCAAUAACAUAUCUUGAAUUCUUGAUGCUUCUUGCUUCUUUGUUGUUGGAAUGUACUUUAAA
rnacentral:misc_RNA from 1 species